rnacentral:lncRNA from 1 species
AGCACUUCCAAUUCCCCAUGCACUUUCUUUUGUAUUCACAGAUGUGUUCUAAAUGAAGGUUUGUUUUUUUUUGUUUUUUGUUUUGUUUUGUUUUUAUGGCUACUGUGUGGAAAAUGAAACUGGAAGUCAGAGGGAUUAAGCUGAGUCUUCUGUGGUCCUCUGUGGUCUUCUCAUCCUGGGAGAACAAUCUUCAUGACCGGCUGCCUGGGUUUAGAGUGAGCAUGGACACAUACCUCUGGACAUGCACAUGAGGUGGCUUCGGGUUCUGAAUGGAAAGAAGAAAGCAAGCUCAGCACAGCAUUUGUUUCCAUUGCUUCCUGACUGACACCAUGUGACCAACCUCCCUCAGUCCUGCUGCCAUCCUCAAACUACCGGGAGUGGACAGAACUCUUCUUAACAAUGCCCACUGAGGAUCAAGAGAGGACAAGCAUCCA